rnacentral:rRNA from 1 species
UGAAUACGAGAUGCUACGGCGUCGAAGCAGUCUAUGUCAUACUUCCAAGAAAAGCUUGCACUGUCAUAAACAAAUAUUGCCUGUACCAUAACCGACACAGGUGGGUAGGUAGAGUAUACUAAGGGGCGCGAGAUAACUCUCUCUAAGGAACUCGGCAAAAUGACUCCGUAACUUCGGGAGAAGGAGUGCCUUAUUUAUAAGGUUGCAAUAACAAGACCCAAGCAACUGUUUAUCAAAAACACAGGUCUCCGCUAAGUCGUAAGACGAUGUAUGGGGGCUGACGCCUGCCCAGUGCCAGAAGGUUAAAGAAGUUGGUUAGCAUUAGCGAAGCUGAUGACUGAAGCCCUGGUGAACGGCGGCCGUAACAAUAACGGUCCUAAGGUAGCGAAAUUCCUUGUCGGGUAAGUUCCGACCCGCACGAAAGGCGUAAUGAUUUGGGUACUGUCUCAGAGAGGGACUCGGUGAAAUAGACUUGUCUGUGAAGAUGCGGACUACCUGCACCUGGACAGAAAGACCCUAUGAAGCUUUACUGUAACCUGAAAUUGAAAUUGGACUUUAUUUGCGCAGUAUAGGUGGGAGGCUUUGAAGAUAUUCUUGCGGGAAUGUUGGAGCCAUCAGUGAGAUACCACUCUUGUAAUGUUAGAUUUCUAACUUUGUAUCAUUAUCUGGUCAAAGAACAGUUUCAGGCGGGCAGUUUGACUGGGGCGGUCGCCUCCUAAACGGUAACGGAGGCGCACAAAGGUUUCCUCUGAACGGGUAGAAAUCGUAUCUAGAGUGUAAAGGCAUAAGGAAGCUUGACUGUGAGACCUACAAGUCGAGCGGGGACGAAAGUCGGUCUUAGUGAUCUGACGGUGCUGAGUGGAAAGGCCGUCACUCAACGGAUAAAAGUUACUCUAGGGAUAACAGGCUGAUCUCCCCCAAGAGUUCACAUCGACGGGGAGGUUUGGCACCUCGAUGUCGGCUCAUCGCAUCCUGGGGCGGUAGUACGUCCCAAGGGUUGGGCUGUUCGCCCAUGAAAGCGGUACGCGAGCUGGGUUCAGAACGUCGUGAGACAGUUCGGUCCAUACCCGGUGUAGGCGUUAGAAUAUUGAGAGGAGCCUUCUCUAGUACGAGAGGACCGAGAAGGACACACCUCUGGUGUACCAGUUAUCGUGCCAACGGUAAACGCUGGGUAGCUAUGUGUGGAGCGGAUAACCGCUGAAAGCAUCUAAGUGGGAAGCCCACCUCAAGAUAAGUAUUCUCA